rnacentral:rRNA from 1 species
AGUGAACGCUGGCGGUAGGCCUAACACAUGCAAGUCGAACGGCAGCACAGUAAGAGCUUGCUCUUACGGGUGGCGAGUGGCGGACGAGUGAGGAAUACAUCGGAAUCUAUUUUUUCGUGGGGGAUAACGUAGGGAAACUUACGCUAAUACCGCAUACGACCUACGGGUGAAAGCAGGGGAUCUUCGGACCUUGCGCGAUUGAAUGAGCCGAUGUCGGAUUAGCUAGUUGGCGGGGUAAAGGCCCACCAAGGCGACGAUCCGUAGCUGGUCUGAGAGGAUGAUCAGCCACACUGGAACUGAGACACGGUCCAGACUCCUACGGGAGGCAGCAGUGGGGAAUAUUGGACAAUGGGCGCAAGCCUGAUCCAGCCAUACCGCGUGGGUGAAGAAGGCCUUCGGGUUGUAAAGCCCUUUUGUUGGGAAAGAAAAGCAGCAGGUUAAUACCCCGCUGUUCUGACGGUACCCAAAGAAUAAGCACCGGCUAACUUCGUG